GACGAACGCUGGCGGCGUGCCUAAUACAUGCAAGUCGAACGAGAGCGACCGGUGCUUGCACUGGUCAAUCUAGUGGCGAACGGGUGAGUAACACGUGGGUAACCUGCCCAUCAGAGGGGGAUAACAUUCGGAAACGGAUGCUAAAACCGCAUAGGUCCUUUAACCGCACGGUUGAAGGAGGAAAAGAGGCGCAAGCUUCUGCUGAUGGAUGGACCCGCGGUGCAUUAGCUAGUUGGUGAGGUAACGGCUCACCAAGGCCGUGAUGCAUAGCCGACCUGAGAGGGUGAUCGGCCACAUUGGGACUGAGACACGGCCCAAACUCCUACGGGAGGCAGCGGUAGGGAAUCUUCCGCAAUGGACGCAAGUCUGACGGAGCAACGCCGCGUGAGUGAAGAAGGUUUUCGGACCGUAAAACUCUGUUGUUAGAGAAGAACAAGUGCUAGAGUAACUGUUAGCGCCUUGACGGUAUCUAACCAGAAAGCCACGGCUAACUACGUGCCAGCAGCCGCGGUAAUACGUAGGUGGCAAGCGUUGUCCGGAUUUAUUGGGCGUAAAGCGAGCGCAGGCGGUUCCUUAAGUCUGAUGUGAAAGCCCCCGGCUCAACCGGGGAGGGUCAUUGGAAACUGGGGAACUUGAGUGCAGAAGAGGAGAGUGGAAUUCCAUGUGUAGCGGUGAAAUGCGUAGAUAUAUGGAGGAACACCAGUGGCGAAGGCGACUCUCUGGUCUGUAACUGACGCUGAGGCUCGAAAGCGUGGGUAGCAAACAGG
rnacentral:rRNA from 1 species